rnacentral:rRNA from 1 species
CAGCCCUUGACAUGUGACUCGCCGGUCUCAGAGAUGGGACCUUCGGUUCGGCCGGAGUCAACACAGGUGCUGCAUGGCUGUCGUCAACUCGUGUCGUGAGAUGUUGGGUUAAGUCCCGCAACGAGCGCAACCCUCGUCUCCAGUUGCCAUCAGGUUAUGCUGGGCACUUUGGAGAAACUGCCGGUGACAAGCCGGAGGAAGGUGGGGAUGACGUCAAGUCCUCAUGGCCCUUACGGGCUGGGCUACACACGUGCUACAAUGGCGGUGACAAUGGGAUGCGAUGGCGCGAGCCGGAGCCGAUCCUAAAAAACCGUCUCAGUUCGGAUUGCACUCUGCAACUCGAGUGCAUGAAGUUGGAAUCGCUAGUAAUCGAGGAUCAGCAUGCCUCGGUGAAUACGUUCCC